rnacentral:lncRNA from 1 species
GCCGGGGCGUCCCCCGCGGGAGCCCGCAGCCACCCGGGACGCGCAUCCAGACGUGGCGCUUCGGACCGGGCACGCUGCGCCCGGGGGCUCGGCGGACCCCGCGUAGCCGCCGCUUCGGAGCUUGUGCGGCGCGGGCUGGCCAGCGGGGCGGCCAGGGCCCGGCCCGCCUCCCCAGCGCCCGCCCGGCUUCUCCCCCUGGCGGUGGGAGCCUCGGCGGCCGCUGGCGACACUAGGCGCACUGAAGCCCGAGCCGAGCCGAGCCCGAGCCGCCGCCGCCGCCGCCGCUGCUGCGCACCGCUCCCGGGCUCCCUCCCAGCGCGCCGGCCGGGGUGUGGGGGGCGGCGGGCCGGAGGGGCGAGGGCGGGCCAGGGGGCGCACACGGGGGUUGGCGCGGAAGACAGGACCCUCAGCCUCGAGGGAGCCCCUAGGUGACCAGGCAAAAUGGCAGUUCCUUCCAGCUGGUCCUCAGAUGGGCACAUCUAUUAGCCUCUGCUCUUGUAAGAAGUUAGCUGCAGAACCCACAUGUGAAUCCUUGUAGGACUCUGGAGAAGAUCAAAUGGGAGCUUAGAUGUGGAAGCUCUUUGGAAACCAAGAAACACUCUGAAAAUGAAAAGGGUGGAAGAGUAAACUGUUCCUGUUUCUCCAUCUUGACAGGAAGCAGAAGUUCUCCUUAGCUGAUUUUUCUUCUUGCCUUAUACUGGGUUCUUUAACACCAGAACAAAAAUAAAUAAAUAAAAGAAUCUUCCAGAAAUUCAUGAAGAGACUUCAGGUCAGGAAAGCCUGAACUUUCUCAUCCAACACCCGUUCAAGUCGGAGGAUGCUGAUUAAUUCAUGAUGGAAAGGUAUCAAUUUCACAGCCCAGACCUCUACAUUCUUGAAAUGCUCUUCUCAUGGGAGACAUUAAAUAAGCUUUGAAUUAACUGAAUGUACAGGGUGUACCAUGAACAAUUCUGACAUGUGAUUUAAUCUAUGUGGGACUACAUUUUAAAUACAUUUGGGAAGGAUUGAACAAUGAAGUGGAGCCCAUCAAUAUUGGUACUGAAAAUGAGACAUGUGCACCAAUGAAAAGUCCAUCAGGGAUUUGCUCUGCCAUAUGGGAAUCAAUGCUCCAUCAGACAGCUUUACAAAGCUGCCAUGUGUGAUUCAUAUUCGCAAACUGUGUAUUAUUUUUAUUGUCUAUUUUUCUAAUUUUUUCUCAUCCCUGAAUCCUUGGUAAAGUUUGGUUUACAUAUUCUUUCAUCACCUCAGUAAAAAAAGAAAUACAAAUAUAAUGGACCCUUUGAAACCAGGGUGGUGGUAACUAUGAUAAUAUUUCAUAGAUUUCCAGGAAAAUGUAAAUCUCAGGGAAGAGAAUUUAAGAUAAAUGUCCAGAUGCUUAUUAGAAGUA